rnacentral:rRNA from 1 species
AAUCAUCUGGAAAGAUGAAUCAAAGAAGGUAAUAAUCCUGUAGUCGAAAAUGUUGUCUCUCUUGAGUGGAUCCUGAGUACGACGGAGCACGUGAAAUUCCGUCGGAAUCUGGGAGGACCAUCUCCUAAGGCUAAAUACUCUCUAGUGACCGAUAGUGAACCAGUACCGUGAGGGAAAGGUGAAAAGCACCCCGGAAGGGGAGUGAAACAGAACCUGAAACCGUGUGCUUACAAGUAGUCAGAGCCCGUUAAUGGGUGAUGGCGUGCCUUUUGUAGAAUGAACCGGCGAGUUACGAUUUGAUGCAAGGUUAAGCAGUAAAUGUGGAGCCGUAGCGAAAGCGAGUCUGAAUAGGGCGUUUAGUAUUUGGUCGUAGACCCGAAACCAGGUGAUCUACCCUUGGUCAGGUUGAAGUUCAGGUAACACUGAAUGGAGGACCGAACCGACUUACGUUGAAAAGUGAGCGGAUGAACUGAGGGUAGCGGAGAAAUUCCAAUCGAACCUGGAGAUAGCUGGUUCUCUCCGAAAUAGCUUUAGGGCUAGCCUCAAGUGAUGAUUAUUGGAGGUAGAGCACUGUUUGGACGAGGGGCCCCUCUCGGGUUACCGAAUUCAGACAAACUCCGAAUGCCAAUUAAUUUAACUUGGGAGUCAGAACAUGGGUGAUAAGGUCCGUGUUCGAAAGGGAAACAGCCCAGACCACCAGCUAAGGUCCCAAAAUAUAUGUUAAGUGGAAAAGGAUGUGGCGUUGCCCAGACAACUAGGAUGUUGGCUUAGAAGCAGCCAUCAUUUAAAGAGUGCGUAAUAGCUCACUAGUCGAGUGACACUGCGCCGAAAAUGUACCGGGGCUAAACAUAUUACCGAAGCUGUGGAUUGUCCUUUGGACAAUGGUAGGAGAGCGUUCUAAGGGCGUUGAAGCAUGAUCGUAAGGACAUGUGGAGCGCUUAGAAGUGAGAAUGCCGGUGUGAGUAGCGAAAGACGGGUGAGAAUCCCGUCCACCGAUUGACUAAGGUUUCCAGAGGAAGGCUCGUCCGCUCUGGGUUAGUCGGGUCCUAAGCUGAGGCCGACAGGCGUAGGCGAUGGAUAACAGGUUGAUAUUCCUGUACCACCUAUA